ensembl:lncRNA
GGAACAUGCUGGAAAAUGUUUGUGGGGAGUGCACUAAUUAGGUUAUCAUUAAGAAUUAAGACCUCUAGUUUACUCAAGUCCCUGAAAACAGCAUGAUCAAUGUCUCUUAAAAGGUUAAAAUCAGCUUGGAGAUACUCCAAAUCAUCCAAACCAAGAAAAGUGUUCUUUUUAAACGACCGGAUCUUGUUGUUGUUUAUAUGCAGGCGCUUGACCAGCUGCAGGCCGAGGAAGGCGCCGGGGACGAUGUCAUGUAAGCCGUUGUUCUCCAAAUGCAAGCUGACUGCAUUGUAGAAGUUGGCGAACUCAUUGGGAAACAGUCUGGAUAGGGAAUUCCCAUGCAGCAGCAAGUGAUAAAACUGCGAGCUCGGACCAGUCAAGUGCUGCAGGUUGCUGAAACCGCGCUUUUCGCAAUCGAUGUGCAAAUCGCCCUCUACUGCACUGCACGAGCAGAUCUCCUCCUUGCACACGUCGCUUGUACUGUUCCCGAGAGCUGCACAAAGAGCCGCCUUCAGCAACACAAUCCACAGCAGCAUUUUUUCAAUGCUGACGAUUCAUCCCCGCAGUCCGAGACAUGGAAAAACUAUCAGAUCAUGGAUGUCUGCGUUCCUCCAGACGCAAACUGACAGACAUAUAGAUCAGCAGUCUGCAGAAACAGGAGGACAAUUCAUGUUUUGAUACAUGCCAUCCAACUCUGGUUAAACAUUUUUUCCAUCAUCUUAUUUACAAAACACUAAAAAAAGCAUCAUCAUCAUUAUCAUCAUCAUCUAAUGUCUCAGAUUACAAUGUGAGAUUAAUCUUACCAAAUAAGUGACCUUGUGUACCCCCCCCAAAAAAAAAUUCUCCUUUAGUGUAUAUUUUGGUAUUCCUCACGGAAGGAAGGGAGCUGUCCGUUCUCCCUUGGUUCUGAAAUCCCAAUGCAUCGCCACGGAGAGGACAAAUAAAGACAUAAAAAUAAAAAAAAGAAUAAAGAGAAAGAAUGAGCUAGAAGGAUGAAUCAGUGCGCAAUUAUCACAUCCUCACAAUUCCAUUCUGCUUCUUCUCCUUCUCCGCACUCCGGCGCUUUUUCAGCAUGUCUAAAGAAACGCUCGGUGCUGCAUCUAACCCCCUCUGCCGAGCUGCAGUGGAAAUAAUCCAUCGAUGUGACGUUUGGAUCGUUUUUAUGUUUGUUUGUGUGUUUGUUUAAAUCGAGCUACAAACAAUAGCAACAAUCUGAUGGUAAAAAUGGGGAAAAAAUCAAAAGUGCACGCACAAAUUCCGAAAAAAAGCGUCUUUCUGGCUAUGUCCGUGUUUGGAUGGUGUUCAGAUUGUCGUUUGUGAACCGCAUCGUGCGCGCUCAAUCAUUUCAAAACUGUUAUAUCCUCCAAAAAGACAAAAAAAAUCAACAAAAAAAAAUCUCAGCUUCUCAGAGUGAUCGUUUCAUUCCCGGAAUAUGUAUUUUUUUUUUUGAAGCGGAGCGAUUUUUUCCUCCUUUCUUCAGCGGAAGAGAGAAGAAAGUCAGAGGACGAGUCUGCGAGUGUUAAUUUCUACGACAAUUUGGUGUCUCCUGGCUGGGCUGCGUGAAUCUUUCAGCUUUUCUGGACAACAAGCAAACCGGAGGACGCCUGUGGAAAAGUUUCAUCCUGAAGUCCAUGUUGACACAGUGUGCUAAAUUGCAGAAAGCCAAUCCCGACCUGGACUCCGCCCCACCACGACGCCCACAGCCAGUAAGGAGGGA